ACCGAUUCACCAGCCGAGGGGUCUCUAAGCCGGUGUAAAUACAGUUCGAGGUCAUUACAAGAUCUGGGAUUCGCACAACGCAGCUGCUUUUUCGGUCUGAGAAUGACCUUUCACUUGUAACUGUCAAGGUCAUUACUAAUGUCACUAUACACAGCCAAUUGAUUAACUAUAUACAUUAUGCAUACACAAAAAAUGAUUAAUAGGAUAUUGUUCUUUGCCAAUAGAGAAACUAACAGGAACAAGUUGCCCAAUCUAUCAAUCACUGCAUCUUUCAUGGCUUGCUCUUUUCCUUGUGCUUCCUUCGUCGAUCACUCACUGCAAAAUUAGGACACGUUAACUGAAAACCAUGUACGCCGAGCCCGUCUGGACUCCUUUCCAUGUGUUUCCUAAAAUUAUCUGAAUCUCACUGCAAUACAAAAUGAGUUUGCGUGUUAGUAUGAAGUGACUCUAUUAACUAUAUUGUCUGUUCAAAUAUUAAUAGCAUUGUCUGUCAUACCAAACCAAAGUUUCAGAAUUCAAAAGAACCUGCACCAAAACCUGAGCACAAUCACCCCUUAGCCCAAUUUUUCCAAAACUUGAGCAUAAUCACACACAAAGAACACGGAAAAUUUAGUCUGACCACAAGUAAUAUCCAUUCAUUUUGGCUAUUUGCAUCAAAUUGGGAACCAAUCAAUGUAUCAAAAAAGUGAAACCUGAUGAAGCAUCAAGGAAAUCAGCAGACCGUCAUGCACGACCUGAAUUAUUACACCGUCCACAUCGGUCAAAUUAGUAUAACAACCUGAAUUAGUAUUUGAAAAGAAUGAAUCAUGAAAGAAGUGGAGACAAGAAACCAUGAAAGGGUACCAACACAGAUGGAGCACAAGGGGCGAGAGUAUGGGAGGCAUGUCAUCCAAGAAAAUCUCUAUAAUGGUGGGAUGACGUAGAGGACAAAGAAAUAACAUGUGGCUCCACUCCUUCCUCUUCUCUUACUCUAGCCCCCUCUUUUCCAUCCCUCUUUCAAACACACGUGUUGUCCUCUCCAGAGCAGUCCUCCUUGAGCAUUUAUACAAACAGCUGGUGGUCGCAU
rnacentral:lncRNA from 1 species